UCCCUGGUGGUCUAGUGGUUAGGAUUCGGUGCUUUCACUGCUGUGUCCCAGGUUCAAUACCUGGUCGGGGAA